CAGAAUUGUGGAGCUGCCAAAGCAUUCGUUUAACAAAUAUGGAGACCUACUACAUUGGGUGUACAGUUCCGAACAAAACCAAAAGGAGCCCCUCGCUAGGGGAGCCAACAGAUUGACAGGAGAAGCGAACAAGUAAAAGGGCUACAAACUGGGGAGAGCCCAGAGAAGGAAAUGGAUGCUGAAAUGAGAGAGCAAGACCGUUGGAAAGUGUAAAAGAUGGCCCUCUCAGAGAAGGGAGGUGAGCUAAGGAGGUCCAAAGGACAAAAAAGGAGGAACCAACCAUCAUUCCUGUAGGAAACCCAAGGCAGCCAAACAAGCAUCUGCAAAGGCCCCGAGUCAGGACUGGCUUGGUACACUCAAGGAAUGGGCAGAAAACCAGGACGGCCAGAGCAUCACACGCAGAGACACACGCAUGUUACCCCUUUGCACCAACUCCGAGGAAGGCACCUAGACCUCCAGGAAAAGAAUAGACCUGCCAAAUUGGGAACAGUCGCUGUAUUUCCAGGAAAUUCUGCUUACCCAUGAGACUUAAGAUGUUCUCCAGAAAUUUCUUACAGUCCCCUUAAUAAGGUUAGGGGUCAGAGCACUACAGAAUAUAGAGGGAUGAAGUGACUCAGUCAAGAACAUGCCUGGUUCUGAAGGUCGCUCCGUUUACUCUGACCACUAAAAUGCUCAUCUGCCAACUUACACAUCUCAGCCCUGGCUCGCUCUUUAUACAACUCUUCUCAACCCUGUUUUCUGCCACAGACCUGUUGGAAUCAAAAACCAUUUCCUUUGCCAAAAGGGCAAACCGUACAAAUGUCUUGUUUUCUGCAGCUCUAAAAAGUCUUUGCUGCUCUUCAAAGUGGUUAAAAGAACACAAGGAACAUCAGAAAAUCCUUA